CGGGGCGUGGCGCAGUCCGGUAGCGUGCUUGAAUGGGGUUCAAGAGGUCGACGGUUCAAAUCCGUCCGCCCCGA
rnacentral:tRNA from 2 species